rnacentral:rRNA from 1 species
GACGAACGCUGGCGGCGUGCUUAACACAUGCAAGUCGAGCGGUAAGGCCCUUUCGGGGUACGACGAGCGGCGAACGGGUAGGAGUAACAACGUGGGUGGACCUCGCCCUCCAGCUCUGGGAGUAAAGCCUCGGGAAACCGGGGUACCGUAAUAACCGGAUAUGACUCCAUGACGCAUGUUGUGGGGUGGAAAGACCUUGUGCGGCUGAGGAUGGGCCCGGCCGGCCUAUCAGCUUGUUGGUGGGGUGGAUGGCCUACCAAGGCGACGACGGGUAGCCGGCCUGAGAGGGCGACCGGCCACACUGGGACUGAGACACGGCCCAGACUCCUACGGGAGGCAGCAGUGGGGGAAUCUUGCGCAAUGGGGCGAAAGCCUGACGCAGCGACGCCGCGUGAGGGAUGAC